AUCUGAUUCAGCAGGCCUGGGUUCGGGCCCGAGAACCUGCGUCUCCCGCGAGUUCCCGCGAGGCAAGUGCUGCAGGUGCGGGGCCAGGAGCUAGGUUUCGUUUCUGCGCCCGGAGCCGCCCUCAGCACAGGCCUUGGACCGCAGUUGCCGGCCAGGAAUCCCAGUGUCACGGUGGACACGCCUCCCUCGCGCCCUUGCCGCCCACCUGCUCACCCAGCUCAGGGGCUUUGGAAUUCUGUGGCCACACUGCGAGGAGAUCGGUUCUGGGUCGGAGGCUACAGGAAGACUCCCACUCCCUGAAAUCUGGAGUGAAGAACGCCGCCAUCCAGCCACCAUUCCAAGGAGGUGCAGGAGAACAGCUCUGUGAUACCAUUUAACUUGUUGACAUUACUUUUAUUUGAAGGAACGUAUAUUAGAGCUUACUUUGCAAAGAAGGAAGAUGGUUGUUUCCGAAGUGGACAUCGCAAAAGCUGAUCCAGCUGCUGCAUCCCACCCUCUAUUACUGAAUGGAGAUGC
rnacentral:lncRNA from 10 species